AAGAAAACUCUUACAACAAACCUUUCCAUAUUAUGAGAAAACAUCUUGUCCUUUUAAAAUAAAUAGAAACUCAAGAUACAGAUUGGGAUGAGACUCACUUCGGAAAAAUGGGAAGUUACUAUAUCAACCGUACAUUUUUCUUUGAUGUGCACCCACCCCUGGGAAAGAUGCUGAUAGGUCUUGCUGGCUACCUGAGUGGAUAUGAUGGUACCUUUUUGUUCCAGAAGCCUGGGGAUAAAUAUGAGCAUCACAGCUACAUGGGAAUGAGAGGAGUAAGGCUUCCUGACUUGAUAUGGACUGACCGAACCCUGGGGCCACACUAAAUCAGAAAUGUUAUAGUUAGCAGCCCUGGCGUGGUGGCAGUUCUGUGCAUUCCUCGGCUCCUGGCUGGUCCCCUUUGCCUACCUCACUGUACUGGAUCUGUCCAAGUCCCUCUCGGCAGCACUGCUCACCGCUGCCCUCCUCACCUU
rnacentral:sRNA from 1 species